GACAGAGGCCUCAAGCGUUAGGCGGAAUCACUGGGCUUAAAGCGUGUGUAGGCGGAUCGUUAAGUGUCUUGUGAAAUCCCACGGCUCACCCGUGGAACGGCUGGGCAUACUGGCGAUCUUGGGCCAACUAGGGGCAACUGGAACAAGCGGUGGAGCGGUGAAAUGCGUAGAUAUCGUUUGGAACGCCAAUGGUGAAAACAAGUAGCUGGGGAUGUGCCGACGCUGAGACACGAAAGCCAGGGGAGCAAACGGG
rnacentral:rRNA from 1 species